AAGUCGUAACAAGGUUUCCGUAGGUGAACCUGCGGAAGGAUCAUUAAGAGAGAAAGAUAAAUAACACCGUGAACAAGACGAAUAACUAAAACAAAUCUAAAACAAAAUUAAAUACAACUUUUAGCAACGGAUCUCUAGGUUCUC
rnacentral:misc_RNA from 1 species